AAUAUUGCGCAAUGGAGGGAACUCUGUCGCAGCGUCGCCGCUUGAGCGAUUAAGGUUUUCGGAUCGUAAAUCUCUGUCCUUGGAGAAGAAGGUCUUCGGACUUGCCGGUACCUAAGGAGGCAGCACCGGCUAACUACGUGUCAGCAGCCACGGUAAUACGUAGGAGGCAAGCGUUGUCCGGAAUUAUUGGGCGUAAAGGGUGCGUAGGCGGCCUUUUAAGUCAGGUGUGAAAGCCCACGGCUUAACCGUGGGAUUGCAUUUGAAACUGGAAGGCUUGAGUAUCGGAGAGGGUAGUGGAAUUCCCAGUGUAGCGGUGGAAUGCGUAGAUAUUGGGAGGAACACCAGUGGCGAAGGCGACUACCUGGACGAAAACUGACGCUGAGGCACGAAAGCUAGGGGAGCAAAC
rnacentral:rRNA from 1 species